rnacentral:rRNA from 1 species
UACGAAGGAUCCAAGCGUUGUCCGGAUUUACUGGGCUUAAAGGGUGCGUAGGCGGGUUAUUAAGUCAGUGGUGAAAGCUUGCAGCUUAACUGUAAAAUUGCCAUUGAAACUGAUAAUCUUGAAUAUGGUUGAGGUAGUUGGAAUGUAUCAUGUAGCGGUGAAAUGCUUAGAUAUGAUGCAGAACACCGAUUGCGAAGGCAGAUUACUGAGCCAUUAUUGACGCUGAGGCACGAAAGCGUGGGGAGCAAACAGG